rnacentral:rRNA from 1 species
AGAGUUUGAUCCUGGCUCAGGAUGAACGCUGGCGGCGUGCUUAACACAUGCAAGUCGAACGAAGCACUUUAUUUGAUUUCUUCGGAAUGAAGAUUUUGUGACUGAGUGGCGGACGGGUGAGUAACGCGUGGGUAACCUGCCUCAUACAGGGGGAUAACAGUUGGAAACGACUGCUAAUACCGCAUAAGCGCACAGGGUCGCAUGACCUGGUGUGAAAAACUCCGGUGGUAUGAGAUGGACCCGCGUCUGAUUAGCCAGUUGGUGGGGUAACGGCCUACCAAAGCAACGAUCAGUAGCCGACCUGAGAGGGUGACCGGCCACAUUGGGACUGAGACACGGCCCAAACUCCUACGGGAGGCAGCAGUGGGGAAUAUUGCACAAUGGGGGAAACCCUGAUGCAGCGACGCCGCGUGAGCGAAGAAGUAUUUCGGUAUGUAAAGCUCUAUCAGCAGGGAAGAAGAAAUGACGGUACCUGACUAAGAAGCACCGGCUAACUCCGUGCCAGCAGCCGCGGUAAUACGGAGGGUGCAAGCGUUAAUCGGAAUUACUGGGCGUAAAGCGCACGCAGGCGGUUUGUUAAGUCAGAUGUGAAAUCCCCGGGCUCAACCUGGGAACUGCAUCUGAUACUGGCAAGCUUGAGUCUCGUAGAGGGGGGUAGAAUUCCAGGUGUAGCGGUGAAAUGCGUAGAGAUCUGGAGGAAUACCGGUGGCGAAGGCGGCCCCCUGGACGAAGACUGACGCUCAGGUGCGAAAGCGUGGGGAGCAAACAAAAUUGGCUCCCCUGGUAGUCCACGCCGGAAACGAUGUUCGACUUGGGAGGUUGUGCCCUUGAGGCGUGGCUUCCGGAGCUAACGCGUUAAGUCGACCGCCUGGGGAGUACGGCCGCAAGGUUAAAAACUCAAAUGAAUUGACGGGGGCCCGCACAAGCGGUGGAGCAUGUGGUUUAAUUCGACGCAACGCGAAGAACCUUACCAAGUCUUGACAUCCCUUGACAGACAUAGAAAUAUGUUUUCUCUUCGGAGCAAGGAGACAGGUGGUGCAUGGUUGUCGUCAGCUCGUGUCGUGAGAUGUUGGGUUAAGUCCCGCAACGAGCGCAACCCUUAUGGUCAGUUACUACGCAAGAGGACUCUGGCCAGACUGCCGUUGACAAAACGGAGGAAGGUGGGGAUGACGUCAAAUCAUCAUGCCCUUUAUGACUUGGGCUACACACGUACUACAAUGGCGUUAAACAAAGAGAAGCAAGACCGCGAGGUGGAGCAAAACUCAGAAACAACGUCCCAGUUCGGACUGCAGGCUGCAACUCGCCUGCACGAAGUCGGAAUUGCUAGUAAUCGUGGAUCAGCAUGCCACGGUGAAUACGUUCCCGGGCCUUGCACACACAGCCCGUCA